UCCCUCAUGGCCCGUUACAUCCCGGGCUACACACGUGCGUACAAUGGCAGGUACAGAGGGCUGCGAAGCCGCGAGGUAGGAGCGAAUACCCAGAAAACCUGUCUCAGGUCCGGAUUGAAGUCUACGCAACCUCGACUUCAUGAAGGCGGAAUCGCUAGUAACCGCGAAUCAGCAGGUCGCGGUGAAUACGUUCCCGGGCCUU
rnacentral:rRNA from 1 species